AUGGCUAAGUUUUGGUGGAGUGGAUCCAUGGAUUGUCGAUCUAUGCAUUGGUUGGCAUGGGACAAGCUUGCUUCUCUGGAAGCUCGUGGGGGCAUGGGUUUUAGAGACCUGAAGGUCUUUAACUUGGCUUUGCUCGGCAAGCAUGGGUGGAGGUUUAUCACUAACCCUGAGUCGCUUUGUGCUCGGGUAAUGAAGGGCCGCUAUUUUCCUAAUGUCGACUUUAUGGAGGUCACGGUGCCAAAGACUUCCUCUGCCAUUUGGCGAGCGAUAGUGGCAGGCAGGACGACGCUCCAAUCUGGACUGAUUAAGAGGGUGGGAGAUGGGACUACAAUCUCUAUUUGGCAUGACAUAUGGACCCCA
rnacentral:rRNA from 1 species